rnacentral:rRNA from 1 species
UACGUAGGGUGCAAGCGUUGCUCGGAUUCAUUGGGCGUAAAGGGCGCGUAGGCGGCUUGUCAAGUGAGGGGUGAAAUCCCUCGGCUUAACCGAGGAACUGCCUGUCAGACUGGAAGGCUUGAGACCGGGAGAGGUGAGUGGAAUUCCCAGUGUAGCGGUGAAAUGCGUAGAUAUUGGGAGGAACACCAGUGGCGAAGGCGGCUCACUGGACCGGAACUGACGCUGAGGCGCGAAAGCGUGGGGAGCAAACAGG